UCCAAAACAAGAGGAAUGUGACCGGC
rnacentral:piRNA from 1 species